UACGUAGGGGGCUAGCGUUGUCCGGAUUUAUUGGGCGUAAAGAGCGUGUAGGCGGCCAGGUAGGUCUGCUGUGAAAACUCGAGGCUCAACCUCGAGACGUCGGCGGAAACCAUCUGGCUAGAGUCCGGAAGAGGAGAGUGGAAUUCCUGGUGUAGCGGUGAAAUGCGUAGAUAUCUGGAGGAACACCGGUGGCGAAGGCGGCAUCCUGGACCAAUUCUGACGCUGAGGAGCGAAAGCCAGGGGAGCAAACGGG
rnacentral:rRNA from 1 species